rnacentral:rRNA from 1 species
UACGGAGGGUGCGAGCGUUAAUCGGAAUUACUGGGCGUAAAGCGUGCGUAGGUGGUUGAUUAAGUUAUCUGUGAAAUUUCUGGGCUUAACCUGGACAGGUCAGAUGAUACUUGAUUGACUCGAGUAUGGGGAGAGGGUAGUGGUAAUUUCCGGUGUAGCGGUGAAAUGCGUAGAGAUCGGAAGGAACACCAGUGGCGAAGGCGGCUACCUGGCCUAAUACUGACACUGAGGCACGAAAGCGUGGGGAGCAAACAGG